GCUCGAUACUUCAAUAAUAAGAAUAAUUGUUAACUUGUGAUCUCUGACUCUCUGAAGAAUUUAAGCAGAAUUUCAUGCAUGAGUACUUGCAGCUUCUGUUGUAAGAAUCAGGCAUAUUUUGUAGGUGUAUAUUGAGGCUGUGUUUGUGGUUUCAUCAUUACCUUUAUUAUCCUUUUUGCAGUGAGUUCUUUAACUUGUGCCACCACAUAAAUGGAAAUGUGACUUACCAGCUCUGUUCCUCAAAAUUGUGUAAAUAUAUGUUGGGCUUUCAAGUUAUGAACCUCAGGAGAAAUAAUGCAUGUAUGAAAGUGAAGUGCAGGUAUAAAGAAGUAGUAUUUCUUUGGGGCAAAAAUUCCAGCAUUUACCUACUAAUUUCAAAAUUAUCACCCUGGAGGGCUAUAAUGUUUGUAUAUUCCUAACUGGAACUUCUUCCUGGGAUUAUACUUACAGAAUUAGAUUUAGUUUUAGAGAUAAAUGUUUCUGAAUAUUCUGUGUUGUAGCACAAAAUCCUUUUGAGUGGGAUUUAUUUUAGAAAUACACCCUUUCAGCACUCUCAUUAGCCCAUCCCACUAAGGAAAAAAAAUCUCUAUCUUGAUUUUUAUAAUUCUAGUGCUAAAUUAGGGCAUGACAUGUAGAAGACUGCACCAAGGUUUGUUGAAUAAGAGAACAAAUGAAUGGCUAAGUAAAAGAAUAUGGGCGAACAAUGUAAUUUAACUUUUUGCUGAGCUAUAACAGUAAAAUUGUUAUAAAUACAGCUAGAAAAUAGAUAUAAAAAGUAUUUACCAAAAGGAAAAUCCAAAAAGAAAAGUAUAUUAAGCAAGGAAAUAAGCAUAGAAUUGCAAAUGAAA
rnacentral:lncRNA from 1 species